ACGGCCCACGCGCCUCUCUACUCCGUCGUCUCCCACAUCACCGGCACGCGGGCCGCGGCGGCGGGAGGCUUCGGCGACCGGCGGUGGCAGAGGCGCGGAGCCAUCCCGGACAGGCGAUGUCUAGCGCUCUCUCCGACCCUUCCCCUCCGCCGCCGGCUUCCUGUACAACCGAUUCGCCCACGCGCACCUCCGCUCCCUCUUGCGCGCCCCGCUCCGGCUGUUCUCCGCACGCUCGCCCGCAGGUGCAGCGCCCCUCUCGUCAAAUGAUGACUAGUGCGGGUGCAGUCUUAAGGAUGAUCAUUGUACAUUUACCUUGUACUAUUUCACCAAUGCUGCACCAAUGCUGCCCAUAAUUAUUUUCUGUACCUUUUUUGUGUUCUGUGAGUGGAUGGCUCGCAACCAGGUCCUCAUAAUUCUGCACAGCUGGUGGAUCUGAAUAUAUGUAAGGCGCUCUGCAACUUCCUUCAUUGUCGGCCUCUCAUCUCCUCUUGGGCUCAGGCAAUGCAUGACAAGCUCAGCUAGUUUCUCAAGUACUACCAUAACUUUAUCAUCUAUUAUUUCACAGUCCAACAUAUCCCAGAGCUUAUUCUGGUGGAACGUCAGUAUGAACGUAUGAGAUAGUGAUUUUUUUUCAUUAAGAUUAUCAAUGUAUAUAGCCCUCUUUCUUGUAACUAGCUCUAAAAGAACAAUUCCAAAGCUGUAUACAUCACUCUUGUCAGUUAGAUGGUGACUGACAAAAGUCUCAGGAUCUAGAUAGCCAAGAGUUCCUUGGAUAAGCAUAAUGAAAUCAUUUUUGUCCAUGGGCUUCAGUGCUGAUGCUCCAAAAUCUGACACUUUUGCGUUGUAUUCAUUAUCAAGGAGUAUAUUGAGGGAUUUGACAUCUCCAUGCAGAAUUGUGCGAGAAGUUGAUGAAUGAAUGUAGGCAAGAGCUUCUGCUGAUUGUGUAGCAAUCUUUAACCUUAAGUCCAAAGGGAUCAGUGAUCUGCAAUCAUUGCCAUGAAGGAACUCAAACAGAGUACCAUUGGGAAUGAACUCAUACACCAACAUUGGCACAUCUACCUCCAAGCAGCAUCCCAGUAACCUCACUAUGUUCCUAUGGUUAAUUUGUGACAAUAUUAUUAUCUCGUUUACAAAUUCUUCUCUGCAGUCAUCAUCUAUUGUUUUGGACUUCUUUAUGGCAACUUCUUCAUUAUCAUCUAAAGUUCCUCUAUAUACCAUUCCGUGAGCACCACAUCCCAGAACAUGAUCAACGCUGUAGUUGUCUGUGGCUUUCUUAAUCUCUUUCUCAGUAAGUAUAAGAAUGGUAUCAACUUGCCUUGAUCUCAUCUCAUCAUAUAACUUCAGGCCUCCAUUUUGUUUGAAGUACUCAUCCUUCUCUUUCCUGAGCUUCCUCCGUUGUAAUUUCAUAACUAACAAGCAUGUCAAAAGCAUCACACCAAGUGCAGAAACACAGAGACCUGCACGAUUAUUUUAUUUGAGGCUUGACACAUCAUAAUCCUUGAAAAGCACCUUAUAUGGACGUAAAUUUAUGAACUAUGUUUUUUUGGGGAAUAUACUCUCAGGUAUGAAUCUUACCGACCACCACUUUUUCAGAUUGACUAAGUACAGGCCGGCAUCCAGAAUUUGUGCCGUCUGGUCUUGUUCCUAUCUUGCAUCGGCAUAUACAACCUCCUGGAGUAUUGAUACAGACACCAUUUUUGCAUGGAUAUAAUGCACUGUACUUCGGGUCUUCCUUACGCAGCUCACACUCAUCUAUAUCUGGAUAGAUUUAAAAUUGAUUAACGUAUAGUAAAAAAAAAAGUCAGAAGGUGAGUUAUUCAAUAUGUUGAGAAAUUUCAAAAAAAAGGAAACAAAACCUGUGUUCUGAUUGUAAGGAACAAGUGGUCUACAAUUAUGUAUUGGCUAAACUUGUCCCUGUAGUUUAUGGUCUUGAUUUCCAUAUCCUAGUCUACAGAAACUUUUUGAAUUAAUAAAUUAUUACCUUGGCAGCCUUCACGAAGAUAAGGAUUGCCCCCAUAACCUUCAGAACAGUUGCACAGGAGCUGUUUCUAAUGGCCCAGUCACUAACAACUGGAGCACCUCUAGUUGCUCUUUCGUUGAUGAACCGGUGCCCAACAAGGUCCUGUUUCCUGAAGCUGUACCACCCAACUUCAACAAGCAUUGCGUAGAAGCAUGGGUUGAAGAUCCAUGAAAUGCUCAUGUUGCUCACUUCCGCUAAGAUGACAGUAAGAUUGGGGGAGAUGGUGGUUUCACAGCAUCCCAUCCCGGUGCACGCUGCUCCAUCUUCUGUAUUGUUGAUACCUUGGCAGUAUGAGAAGCAUCCAGCCACGUAAGGGUCAGGGUUUCUGCCUCCGAUAAUCCCCAGGGCACUGCAGCCAAUGACUGUGAAGCGGUUUUUGGUGGUCGAGGCUAUCAAUGGUGUGCCUUCCAGGCUGAACUCAGCUGUGUAGUUCUCUGAUAUAGUGUUAUUUGCCUUGAAGCAGCUGUAGCCAACAGGGCCAUAAACGCGCACCUCACCAUGCUCCAAGGAGAUGUCAAUGACCUCUCUGGGUGUUGAAGUGUUACCAAUCAUAGGCCGCGGCGGCUGAAAGGUAUCAUUGCAGGUCACUGCAAAGUAGGGGUUGAGGCUAGUUGCUGCACAGCCAGCACCAAUGCCAAAGGGGUAAGGGAUGGUGAUGUUCCCGCAUUUGGCGGGGCACCCUGGAAGCGAUACGGCGAGCUUGGAAGAGGUAGUGGAUAUAACUCUCACUUGUGACAUGAGGAACACCAGGAGGAAUAAGGCUUCUUUCAUGGCUUUAGAGUUCUCUCAGCACAAAGGAUUAUCUUGGGAUCCAACCAAUUGCUUGUUUCCAUGUGCUUGAAGGGAUGUACUAUCUCCGUGCUGUCGUUCCCAGCAGAAAGGAUUAUCUUGUAAUCCAGCCAAUCUGGUGUUUCCAGCUUCCCAUGAUGCUUUGGAGGUUUUGGUCAUGUGAAUGGUCAUGCUAAUGGUUCUAAAGCACUUACGGACUUAUGGUGCGUCACAUGGUCAAUAAGAAGAGUCAGAUGGAUAUAUUAAAUUGGAGUCAAGUGCAUACGCUGUCCUCUCUAGAUGGAUCAAUAUAAUUCGACAGCGAUAGUAGAAGGAAAUUAUACUUCACCAAAGGCAAAUGCAGGUACACUUACAGAUGUCCAAACAUAUAAUUCUUUGGUUGAAAAAAAAUGAGAGGCAGGAGGUACGCCCAAAAUUUACUCGACUAGUUUGCAGUACAGUGUUGAACAGCAAAGGAUAUAUAUGCAGUCAGGUUAACAGCUACAAGUGGACAAAUCGACUGUCAUGACAAGAAGAAAGAACUGACAGUUGCAGGAGCACAUAAUCUGGCAGCCAUGUUUCUGACUUGGGCGCAUCAAUCAGACUAUCAGAUGAAAUGCCAGAAUUACUGGAGGGGCAGCUGAAGUAGGAAGUGUUACGGACUGGCUUCCCAGACAGAGGCUCGGUUGGCGGCGAAGCUUCAGUGAGCAAUGCACACAUGCACGGUACGCCGUACUCGUACAGUUGCUCGCCACCCCACGAGCGUCAACCUUAAGCUUGCUCCUCUCCUCCGGCUCCGGCCUCCGUUGCCGCCUUCCCAUUCAGCUGCCUGCCCACGCCGACGUGGCGCACCCCACUUCCGCCCUGCUGUGUUCGUCGGUGGGGCGGCACGUCGUUACCAGUCUUUUCCCCUCCCUCCUGAAAUCCAGCUCCAGGGCAACCACCACGAGGACGCUUGAUGCGCACGGCUUCGUUUCCGACCGCUCCGUCGCAUGCUUCCUCGUCAGGAAGAGGUAUCAGGCAUCGCCAGUCACUGGGAAGAUGAUGAGCACCAGGAAGAUUAAUGCUUCUUUCAUGACUGGAGAAGUACGUUCUCACCAGCGUAGAUAAUUGUCUGCCGCUACAUACAAUGCAACUGAAUACAAAUCGACACUUCCAUGGUGCUGCUUGGGAGAUGGAUCAUUUGUCAGCUAUUGGCUGUGCAACUGUGAAGUCAAGAACUCUUGGGACUGCGACCAUUUUGAGUCUGGAGGCCUGCACAAGCAAUUUACUGGGAAAAACAGCAACAGUUUGCAAUACAACUGUGGCGCGGCAACGAUAAUUAUUCACUCUGUUCGCUUGGCACAUUGACUAGCUGCAGGCGAGCUCCUUCCAUCAAACUGCCAUCCAUGCCUCGGCAUAUAGGGUGGAAUUUCUGAAGCACUGCACCACGAUGAACUGCAUCCAGCUAAAUUACUGCAGAAACAGCGGCGUUGCUCAUGCCAAUCACUACUAGUCUUUUGUGCAGCAACACAUCUUGCCUAAUUGGCCUCCGUAUGUGCUGUACAUUUCAUGUUGUAAUGAAAACAAUCGUUAAUCCCCGUCAUCUUUCUUUCCAGUGCUGAACUAGUAUUUAUCUGAAUAAGGUGACUUGGCCUUUAUCUUCGUUUCUAACCUGUAUUGUCUCUGUGGAUGUAAAUAAAACCUGGUGAUCCUUUUUUUU